GAGUUUACUAGACUUAACUCCAUUGAUAUUGAAGGUCAACCUUCCAUUUCGAUUCAUGAUCUGAAAUCCAAGAUCAUUCGUUACAAGAACCUCGAUAUCUGCCAAGACUUCUAUCUCGUUUUCUCUGAUGCCCUCACCGGUCAAGGGUCUUAAUGUGGGAGGAGUCGCUGGUGGAGGUGCGUGCGUCCCAAAUGCGGAGAGUGCAGUCGUUGGAGGCGAAGUAGAUGUAGUGGGAGUCGGAGGACCAGGAGAGGUCGGAGGCGAAGCAGAUGUAGUGGGAUUUCUUUUCUGUUAAAGUGUUUGGGAAAGUGUUUGGUUAUUGAGAAAAUCUGAGGGAGAGUGAGACUGAGGGCCGAAUGUUUGGGCUUAGAAAUCUAAAGGAUAUACUGUUUAUUUAGUUUUAGAUUUUAGAAGGAUUUAGUGGGUUUAUUUAAUUUUAAAUUUUAUAUGAGUUUAGUAGUUAUUAGUGGAUUUAUCCAUUUAGACGCAUUUAAUUAAAUAACCAAAUGAGUCUUUAUCCAUUUAAUCCAAAUACUCAAAUGGGUUGGGUUUAGACUUAUCCAAAUAAUGUGGGUAAUGAGCGGGUUUAUGGAUAUGGAUAAAAAUUGAUACUCAAAUGAGAUGAUUGCAAGGCUAGUCUUGGUUUUAUUUUUUCUCUUUUUGAUAAAUAAAAAUUUUAUGAUGAGAAAGAACUACCUCAUGUA